rnacentral:rRNA from 1 species
CCUACGGGAGGCAGCAGUGGGGAAUAUUGCACAAUGGGGGAAACCCUGAUGCAGCGACGCCGCGUGAGUGAAGAAGUAUCUCGGUACGUAAAGCUCCAUCUGCAGGGAAGAAAAUGACGGUACGUGACUAAGAAGCUCCGGCUAACUACGUGCCAGCAGCCGCGGUAACACGUAGGGGGCAAGCGUUAUCCGGAUUUACUGGGGGUAAAGGGAGCGUAGACGGGAGCACAAGUCUGGAGUGAAAUCCCGGGGCUUAACCCCGGAACUGCUUUGGAAACUGUGCGGCUGGAGUGCAGGAGGGGUAAGCGGAAUUCCUGGUGUAGCGGUGAAAUGCGUAGAUAUUAGGAGGAACACCGGUUGCGAAGGCGGCUUACUGGACUGUAACUGACGUUGAGGCUCGAAAGCGUGGGUAGCAAACAGGAUUAGAUACCCCAGUAGUC